rnacentral:lncRNA from 1 species
CUUAGACUUCAUAUGAGUGACUCAGAGACUGUGUAAUACCUUCACCAAGUGGGUAAAGGAAAUCAUCAGUUCAACCCACUUCCUAACUACUAAGCAAAUUCUCUUGCCACUGAAAUUCCAGAAAUGCCUUCCGCACAGCACCAGAAGUUAGCUGGAGAGGUUAAACAGACAGAAUGAAAGUGUCCCUGACCAGUCAGGCCAGCUGUGCUUGGCCUGACUUGGCAGAAGUCACUUCAACUACUGCUGUUGCUUAGUGGGCAGAAGAGGACGAGGGCAAACAAAACCAAGGGGUCUGUGUUGACGUCAAUUGCCCACUGAAGGCCAUGCAGAUGUCCAUGGUCCGGGCUGCUGCCAGAUCUAUGCUGCCACUGAGAGCCAUGUCCAGGUCCACGAUCCUACACAGCUGAGUCUGUGUAGAUGCUGGUGGCCCAUGUUAUCAUCAAAGGCUUUAUGGAUAUCCGUGGUCUGGGCUGCCACCUGAAGCCAUUUGUUACAUAAGAACCUUGCUGCCAAAGGGGACCAUAUUAAUGUGAGUGGAUUGCAUGACUUCCUGAGGCCAUGGUGAUGUAUGGAUCCAUGCUGUUGCCUAGAGUCAUGUCCAGAACCAAGGUCCUACUGCCACUGGGGGCUGUGUGAUCUAUGCUGUCACUAGAAAACAUGUGGAAGCCCAUGACCAUACUGCUGCUGACUGUGAAGAGCUACUUUUGCAGUGAUGUCGAUCAAUGACUGCAGAUGCACAGUUGAGAGAGAGGACAUCCAAAGCUUCUGUGAUAGUCCCUUCCCCCAGCCUCCACUAAAGGAAAAGUUACAGCCUAGAUGGGAAGCCAUCAAGAAGAACUCUUAAAAGCAACCUUGGAAGGAAGCAUAUUUAUCUUCAUGAUGUGGGCAAACUUUAUGAAGUCAACUGAAGUAUUUAAAAGAAGACUGGAAUCCACCAAAAACAAAGGGUUCUAUAUCCAGACUCUUUAGAUUUAAGACUGCAGUGUCAGCUCUUUCUAUGGCUUCUGAAAUGCUGACCUGGGACAGACAAAACUAUAAACCAGAAGACUCUAGAAACUACUGACUAAAGAGCAUCCAUUUCUUGCAUGCCCUGUGCAAUAAAAGCAGAGCUCCUUGGAGGAACAUAGAAAGAUCACAGAUGCCAGAGUGUUGGAGACUCAAGUUAACACAGACAGCUGAAUGGGAUGGAGACAGUAUGGAACCAGAGGACCAUUGAGUGUCGUCCAUGGAUACUGUGCUAGAUUGAAGAAUGAAAGCACUAGACAGUCCAGUUUCCCUCCAAAUCCUAAAAAUUCACGUUUUCCUACUUAGAACAUAC